GACGAACGCUGGCGGCGUGCUUAACACAUGCAAGUCGAACGGAAAGGCCCCGCUUUUGUGGGGUGCUCGAGUGGCGAACGGGUGAGUAACACGUGAGUAACCUGCCCUUGACUUUGGGAUAACUUCAGGAAACUGGGGCUAAUACCGGAUAGGAGCUCCUGCUGCAUGGUGGGGGUUGGAAAGUUUCGGCGGUUGGGGAUGGACUCGCGGCUUAUCAGCUUGUUGGUGGGGUAGUGGCUUACCAAGGCUUUGACGGGUAGCCGGCCUGAGAGGGUGACCGGCCACAUUGGGACUGAGAUACGGCCCAGACUCCUACGGGAGGCAGCAGUGGGGAAUAUUGCACAAUGGGCGGAAGCCUGAUGCAGCAACGCCGCGUGCGGGAUGACGGCCUUCGGGUUGUAAACCGCUUUCGCCUGCGACGAAGCGUGAGUGACGGUAAUGGGUAAAGAAGCACCGGCUAACUACGUG
rnacentral:rRNA from 1 species